rnacentral:lncRNA from 1 species
GGAGUUGCAGUUGGUUCACUACUCCUCCUCUCGAGCCUCUUCGAAUUAGGAACCGGCACCGAGGUUGAAGCAGAUUUUUGACCCGCCCUAGAACCUCCCGGCUCUAUUAACCUAUCAAAUGCUAUAGCAGUAAAAGUCGGCAUAACUGCAUAACAACAAAUCAAAAUUACACAUAGAUGUUAAAAACAAAUUGAAAUAAAUAAAUUAGAAUCAUACACCAAAGCUAAUUAAAUACAAUUUUUAACAAAAAUCACACAUAUAACAAUAACAGCAACAAUUAGUCCAUGAUUGAAUCUAUUGAAAUUGACAAAAAUUAAGAUUAUAUAUCUAAACAAAUACAAAUUGAGGAAACAAAAAUAUUAGAGAAAAUGCAUAACCCUAACCGAAUACACCUAACAGAAAGAAAUCAUCAUAAUUUUGUGAUUGAUUUCCAACAAAACAGAAAUGAAAACGGAAUGCAAUUGAAAAUGUAAAAGAAUAAAUAGAAAAUAGAAGAAAUCGAAAUGAGUAAUUUCUGAACCUAAGAAGAAGAAGAAGUCGUGCAAUAUUAAUUGGGGAAUAAGAAAUGAAAAAUAAGAAAAUAAAAAACCUUGUGGUUGCGUGGGGAAGAAGAAGGAGUGGAAAAUGACUACGAAAAAAGAAGAAGGUGCAUAAUAUUUGUUUGUGAGCG